UUUCCCUCAGGAUAGCGGCCCGACGAAAUGUUGUCCUGUGUGGUAGAGCGAAUGAUUAGCGUUUUCGGGGGAAUUUAUUUCUUCGUGCGAUUCUCAAACUUCUAAUGCGCAGGAUGAUGUUGCUGUUUUGUUUAAGCAGUGUCGUUAGAAACGUCGGGUUCGUGGGCCACUUUUGGUAAGCAGAACUGGCGAUACGGGAUGAACCGUAAGUGUGGUUAAGGCGCCCAAUUGACCGCUCAUAGGUCCCACAAAAGGUGUUGAUUCAUCGAGACAGCAGGACGGUGGCCAUGGAAGUCGGAAUCCGCUAAGGAGUGUGUAACAACUCACCUGCCGAAUGAAUUAGCCCUGAAAAUGGAUGGCACUAAAGCGGUCAGCCGACACCAUACCAUCCAGCCAAAAGUGGAGCUGAGAUGAGUAGGAGGGCAUCCCGGUUGUAUCGAAGCGUAGGGGCAACCUUGCGUGGAACGGCCGGAAGUGCAGAUCUUGGUGGUAGUAGCAAAUAUUCAUGUGUGAUCCUUGAAGGGCGAUGUGGGGAAGGGUUCCACGCGAACAUUGAUUGAGCGUGGGUGAGUCGUUCCUAAGUCGGGCGUUUAUUGUGCAAAAACCGGCGAAAGGGAAGCAGGUUGACAUUCCUGCACACGGAUGUGGAGGCGGUGACGCCCCUACUGGCAAAGUGACGUUGGCGGUGGCCCUGGGCAGAGUUGUCUUUUCUGUUUAACCGUCCGGUAUGCUCUGUGGAAUCCGCUUGUCGGGAGAAACAGGCAUUCUUGAGCAAAGCGCCGGGGUAUUACCGGCGUCCAGAUCGCCACCGACAGCCCUUGAAAAACUUUGUGCUGGGCAGAGUCAUUCGGCUCUGUUUGGGAAUUCCACGCCGUAACGUACCUAUAACCGCAUUAGGUCCCCAAGGUGAACAGCCUCUGCUCAAUAUGGUUAAUGCAGGUAAGGGAAGUCGGCAAAUUAGACCCGUAACUUUGGGAAAAGGGUUGGCUCUAGUGCUGUCUGGGUUUGAAGGUCCUGUGAAAUCUCUUUUUCAGACUCUCAUUAGCAUGAAAUGGGUUGGGUUUGUGAUCAGUGUACUUUUUGUGCGCUUCGUAUCCGACCUUUCCUUUUUCUAUUGUUGGUGGUAGUCAAGGUUCGACUGCUCAGGAUAUACAGCAAACUAGAAUUGCAGCGGGCAAAGGGAAUCCGACUGUUUAAUUAAAACAAAGCAUUGCGAGGGCCGUGACUGGUGUUGACGCAAUGUGAUUUCUGCCCAGUGCUCUGAAUCACUAGUGCGGCCGCCUGCAG
rnacentral:rRNA from 1 species